UACAGAGGGGGCAAGCGUUGUUCGGAAUUACUGGGCGUAAAGGGCGCGUAGGCGCCUUCUAAGUCGAACGUGAAAUCCCCGGGCUCAACCCGGGAACUGCGUCCGAUACUGGAAGGCUUGAAUCCGGGAGAGGGAUGUGGAAUUCCAGGUGUAGCGGUGAAAUGCGCAGAUAUCAGGAGGAACACCAAUGGCGAAGGCAGCACUCUGGGACGUGACUGACGCUGAGACGCGAAAGCGUGGGGAGCAAACAGG
rnacentral:rRNA from 1 species